rnacentral:siRNA from 1 species
AGUACUGAUGAUGCUGACCGGA